rnacentral:rRNA from 1 species
CACGUAGGGGGCGAGCGUUGUCCGGAUUUAUUGGGCGUAAAGAGCUCGUAGGCGGUUCGGCAAGUCGGGUGUGAAAUUUCGAGGCUCAACCUCGAAACGCCACUCGAUACUGCUGUGACUGGAGUCCGGUAGAGGAGUGCGGAAUUCCUGGUGUAGCGGUGAAAUGCGCAGAUAUCAGGAGGAACACCAACGGCGAAGGCAGCACUCUGGGCCGGUACUGACGCUGAGGAGCGAAAGCGUGGGGAGCGAAUGGG